CAUCAUCUUCAUCUGGACUCUCACAGCGUUUGCUCAAGAGUGUAGAGGACAGAUCACCGUCACUCAGAGUCCCUCAAUGACAGCAGCUCAACCAGGACAAACUGUGGAGAUCAACUGUAAAACCAGCACAGAUGUGGCCAGUUAUUCCGGAACAUACUUUUUCAGCUGGUACUUACAGAAACCUGGAGGAGCUCCUAAACUCUGGAUUUAUGGAACAAACAGCCUCCAGUCAGGAACUCCAUCUAGAUUCAGUGGCAGUGGAUCUAACAGUGAUUUCACUCUGACCAUCAGUGGAGUCCAGACUGAAGAUGCUGGACAUUAUUACUGUCUGAGUUUCCACACUGGUCCAGUGAUCACACAGUGAUAAAGAGUCGUACAAAAACCUCCGUCAGUCAGAGUCACAGUGACUGAACUGAUACUGCAGCUGCUCACACACUUUCACACACUUUCACACACACUCAACAGCAGAAGGUUUUCAAACACACAGAUCUAAACAUUCUUCUACAAACGUUUUCUCUCUCAUAAACUUUCAUCAAGUCAAGUCAGCAGACCAAACACAUCUGAAACCAGACAAAAUGGACCUGAUGGACUAAUUUCUGUUUCUCAUCAUUUAUCUUUGGCCACAUUUAGCAUAUGACAAAGAUUGGGUAUGUGAAUGUGUUCAGAGAUUUUGACUAUAGGAAAAAGAAAUAUUGAAUUGAACUCUAUUCAAAUAAAUAAAAUGAACAAAAUGAUUGAACAUAAUCUGUUCAUGUUCAGUAAAAAGCCUAUACCACACAUCAGGAAAACAGAUUGAGAAAGUGAACAAUUUAAUCAAAUGAUCUUGAAGUAAUUAAAUCCACAAUUUCUUUUAUGGCUUAAUUUAAACAGAUUUCAGAUGAGGUCGUGUGAAAACAACA